UACGUAGGGGGCUAGCGUUGUCCGGAACCAUUGGGCGUAAAGAGCGUGUAGGCGGUCCGGUAAGUCCGCUGUGAAAGUCGGGGGCUCAACCCUCGAAUGCCGGUGGAUACUGUCGGGCUAGAGUGCGGAAGAGGCGAGUGGAAUUCCUGGUGUAGCGGUGAAAUGCGCAGAUAUCGGGAGGAACACCAAUGGCGAAGGCAGCUCGCUGGGACGGUACUGACGCUGAGACGCGAAAGCGUGGGGAGCAAACAGG
rnacentral:rRNA from 1 species